rnacentral:tmRNA from 1 species
GGGGACGACAGGCUUCGACGUGGUCGGAUCGUGGGGUCGGUUGCGAGUCGGGGUGCCGGAGGCCCCGUAAAAAACCGGCACAAAACAAAUGCGGACAAGAAUCCCGCUCUCGUGGCUGAUGAAGCCCACGAGUACGCUCUCGCCGUCUAGCCAAAACUAGAAGGUGAGCCUCAGCGCCCGAGGCCUACGACGGGAUCAGCUGAGUCAUAAGUAGGCUUGCUCUCUGGACGCUCGCCUGAGCCGACGGAGGGGACUUUUGAUCAGGCUGGCCGCUCACAACCUUUGUCGGUGGAGCAACUGAGCGGCGAGAUUUAGACCACCGAACACACUCGUAGACGCCGGCUUGGCGCGACUGCGGACGCGGGUUCAAUUCCCGCCGUCUCCACUC